rnacentral:tRNA from 2 species
ACCAGGAUGGCCCAGUGGUUAAGGCGUUGGACUUAAGUUCCAAUGUACGGAUGUACGCGUGGGUUCGAACCCCACUCCUGGUA